GCCUGGGUGGCUCAGUCGGUUAAGCGUCCAACUUCGGCUCGGGUCAUGUUCUCGCGGUUCGUGGGUUCGAGCCCCACGUCGGGCU
rnacentral:tRNA from 1 species